rnacentral:tRNA from 1 species
AGCCCUAAGGUGUUUUCACAUGUAAGAUUGCAAAUCUUAAGACGCAGACUAACCCUCUGCUAGGGCUU